UCGCCGGGGUGCGCCCCGCUGCAAAGCGGCCAGGAGGUAACAGCGUUAAUAUGGUUAUUAAGAUAUUUAAUCUCAUCCCCUCUUCAGAGGAACGCUCACGCUAGCGGCCCUGCGCCAGUAAGCUCCCGGCCGCAAGCAGCUGGCGUUGAGUUGCACAAAAACUAAACCCGAGCCUUAAUUUAAACGCACUUUCAAACAGCGAAUGCGCUCUCCCUGUCGAUGGACUUAUCCCAGUCGCGCUGCUGGUGUCAGGAAAAUGACCCAGGUUGGAAAAUCACAAAAGUCAAAUAAACAAAGGGUGUUAAGAAAGUCACAGAAGACAUCACAGAGCUACUGUGGUUUAUAAACACUCCAUAUCCUUUUUUUGUGUGGAAAUAAUAUUGCUGUGAGUUACAGCUCUUUUAUUAGAUGUCAGGUUAUGUUACUGCAGCUUUGCUGAGAGUCAGAGCAAUGAAUUUGGGUCUCUAUAAUCUGUUGUAUCCAGUUGCAGGAGCACAGUCGUAACCAAUGGCAUGCAGGCCACCUUCCAAUUAAAGCUAAACUCAAUUUUAAGGUAGUGUAUGCAAAUCUACCCUGAAAAACAAACCUCAUUAAGCUUUUUAUGUACAAAGGUGUAUAUUUUCUUCUCGUUUUGUUUAUCUCCAGUGUCAUUGGGGGUGUUCUGUCAAGGAAGAAACUAUUAGCCACUUGGCUCUUUGAUUUGAAAAUGAGACCCAGGUAUACAUGUUAACAGCUUUUAUCGAAACAGGAAUCUUAUGAGAACAACAUAUAUAGUUAGAUCUCAACUACUUUUUUGAAAGCAGAUGCAAACCUACGUAUUAAACUGUCCCUGAUCUGACCAAGCUGCCAAACUCAGGUGGCUGGCAGUGUACCUCACACCCAGGCAGCUAUACUGUCCUGAUUGUAGACCACAUGUUCAGAAAUUGCUUGUAUACAAAGGUUUGGAUGUAAAAAUCAACAUAUGUCCGCCUCCGUGUUGGCAUAACCAAUCCCAGCAGCCAUGCUCAGGCUGAAAAGGUAUUUUGCUAGUGUCGGAAUUUAUCCACUCAAAAUGCUAAGGCAUAAAGCAUUCUAUAAAUGGAAAGAAAUACAGAGCAUAAACUGCAGGCUAUUUGGAAAUCAGGUUUUGUUUCUCAAAGCAAACAUAAGCACCCAAGGCUCUGAGAUGAAACGAUGCUUACUGAAUGAAGACAUGGUCAGGCAGCCAGGCAGAUGGAAAAAGAAUCCAACAGUGUUAAGCUUGAUCCUGUUCAGCUUUGGGCAAAAUUUCAACCUCAAGGGUUAAUGCUUCUUAAAUACAAUUCAUUGUGUAAAUUCAGCCUCACACCUAAAUGCAUUAUAUUUGCUGCAUUACAUGCUUUGCGGUCUGUAGGGUUUUCCUCAGCCAUUUGGCUGAAAAUCAAGGACAAUGAGAGAAGAACAAUAUCAGUAUGAUCUCUGUGAUCAUGCACAUUGUGGUUCUCAGGAAAAAAAAAAUAAUUCAAAUUGACCAGUUUUGGAUUUUUUUAAAUGGACCAUUUAACCAAGCUGAGUUCCUCUGUUGGCUCUGAUUCAGAGCUCAGGUUUUCAUGGUAAAUUGCAGUUUAUUUUUUAAAAAAGAAAAAGAAAGUACAUCCCCUUUAAUUCUAAAUGUCAAUACACCGAAAUUUGAAACAGUUUAACAAAACCUCUCUGAAAGUUGAUCCAGAUUAAUAUUUAAUCAUUCAGCAUUCCUGUCAUCUGGAAGCUUGUAAGCAUAGGAAAUUGAAUGUGCUGUCAAGUAGGUUUUUAGUUUUCAUUGAAGGAGAAUAUACUAUUUUUUGGGGAAGAGUAAACUGCCACUAGGAGUGGUCUACUGAAAGAGUUAGUAUACGGCUAGUUUACAGUCCUACUCACUAACUUCACACUAUAGACGUGCAUCCAGUUAGGUAGAAUUUAUGUAUUAUUCAGGUUGCUUUGCGCACAUUGCGGCACUUUGGGUACAAAAUGCAUGAGAGUGCAAACAGCGAAUGAAGGCUGUGUCUACAUUAGGACCAAAAUGGUGCUGAGAGCCCAACAUCUGCACUCCAUGUGUUUCAGGAGCUUUUAUUUCAGAGUAGCUAUAAUGUGCUCCCAGGGACCCAAUGCCCAUUAGCAGCUGAAGCAGAUCAUUCAGUUUAGCUCCUGCAGAAUAACCUUGUGUUAGGCAGUGUGAACCCAAGCACAGUAAAUGGGGAGAAUCAAGAAACUAUUUUCAGAAGCACAGUCCUAUUCUGAACUGUAAUGCUACUGUAGACAAACCCAAGCAGAGCAUGGCUUCCAUGGAAGAGCCAGUCUGAUGCCAGCCUAGGGGCACUGUGAGUCUGGGCUGACCACUGGCCUGGAGACCUGCUACAGGAUGGCUGGGGGACUCCCUGAGUUAGCAGAGGUUGGUACUUCCCAUUUUAUGGAAGAACAGAUGCAGAAAAGCACUCUUCAUCAUGAUGCCUGUGGCACCAUUCAGACUGCUACAGCACUUGAUGCAGAAGUAAGAGACUUUCUUCAGAACAUGCACAGUGCUCUGUUAUGAAAACCUCAUUAUAAAGACUGCAUCGAGAACUGGCCCUGAAGCUCUUCUUCCCUCAGCCUGUUUGCCAUGAGAAACAGUAAGUUAAAUAGCAUCGGAAAUGCUGGACUUCUAUAUGUAAUGAGCAUGUGGCCCAUAGAAUUCACUAAGCAAGAGGUCAGUGGGCUUAAUGAAUUUAACCAGGCCUUUAAAAAGACUUUAUAUUACCAAUAACAUUUUCAACUUCCUUGUGCCUGCUGAAGUUAAUGCAGAACUUUUGAAACAAAUUUCAGGAUUUGGGAAGGGAUGUGCUAUUUUUUGCUUCAGUGUUGCAUUUUUUAGCUAUGUACAUUGCUGUAUCAGCUUCUGGCUUUGAGUGCACUUAUGACCAAAAAGAAGAGAAUCAGGUAAAUGGUUUGCUCAUGUUGCAAUUAAUGUCAUGUUGCUGGUGUGUUUGGCAUCUUCUUCAUAAGAAAGCAACAGUCCUACUGUUCCACCAGCUUGCAACAUAAAAUAGAGAAAACUGUGAGGUUCAGCAAGUGUGCUUUUGCUCUUUACAUAGCAAUUAAGACUGAGUGGAAAACA